rnacentral:lncRNA from 1 species
CAGUAGUAUUCCAAACGUUUCAAUGAUGAGAGUUAUAGAUCUAUUUUGAUAAAGAAAGAAUAAUCUUGUUGUGAGUGGUACAGGUACCUAUAUGGUAAACAUGAGUAACGAGCUUAAAUUAGAGAAUGUGACUCGAGUAGAUGAUAAUGAGUAAGUUAAAUUAUGUUUACUUUUGAGCUAUAAGUAUGAUGACUAAUGGUGAGAUUGUUGUUGUAUAUUCAUUUAUAUGCAACUUACUAGGCUUUAUGCUUACCAUAUUUCCUUUCCCUCUUUUUUCAGUGUUAUCAAGCUAUCUUAAGGAUUCCUUAAAUUCAGAUAUAUCGAUCACACUAUCAGCCGCAAUACUUGGUAUAGUUUGAUUUAUAUUUUUGAAAGUGACAUGUAUAGGGCUAAACUAGGAUGUUGUAUUAAGAGAAUGAUUCAUGUAUUUUGGGUUAAGUCAAAGGCCCUUCAUUUUGUCAUCAAGCCUGUAAUAAUGGUUAUUAUUCAUUUUGAUGAAUGUAUAUAAUGUUCUUUCUAUGGUUAAAUUAGUGCCCAUUGUGAUAAGAUUUAUGUAUUGAAAUAAUCUUGUGUAGGUUGUGCAAAAUAAGUGACAAAAGGGCUUGGGAAAUAGCCUGGAUUGUCCACACGGGUAAGACAAACGGGCGUGUGUCUAUGCCGUGUGUGACACACGGUUCACACCCAUGGGUGUGUGUUAUGGUUGUGCAUCCCUUGCACUUAAAUUUUUAAAGUUAUUUUAGCACACGGGUAGGCCACACAAGCGUGUUUCCAUGCCGUGUCAAAAAGUCAGUAUGCAUGCUAGUAGUACAUGGGCAAGAGACACAGCCAUGUGUCUCGGUCAUGUGAAUGACACGAUUAUAGGGCACGGGUGUGUGCUUGGGCAGUGCGGUUUUGGCAUAAUGCCCAGGUUUUCAGACACGGGUUCGGGACACAGGCGUGUCCCUAACACACGGUCGUGUGCUCUAUACCCACACGGGCGUCUGGAGUUUUGUUGCAUGAAAUUUUUCUAAGUUUUUCAUGAGUUCUGGAUUAGGUUUCGAACCACCCUGGAUGAACUUUCUGGGCAUGUAAGCCCAUGUUAGGGGCAGAUUGUUUGUGAAAAGAAAAGUUUUAAAUUAUUUGAGAUUUCACGGCCCAAUUUUGUUUAGUUAGUUGAGUUUAAGUCAGGUAGCACCACAAACCCCAUCCUAUCAUCGGAUACGGGCGAGGGGUGUUACAUUUGGUGGUAUCAGAGCAUGGUUUAGUCGAUUUUAGGACUAAUCUAGCUAGAGUAGGAGUCUAGCCAUACAUGUCACAUAUAUGUAUAUUGAUAGUGUGACGAUUCUUGAUGAUUAUAAAUUGUGUUUAUUAUAGUAAUGGAUCCUGAUAGAACCACGGCGGAUGACAUUGAGAGUAAUACGCCGGUUCUUGUAGAAGGGACCACACCAUUAGAGAGUGAGGCCGUGAGUAUAGGCCAAGGCGGAGGGACUAGGGAAGCCUACUCCGAAUAAUGGAUGCUUGGUAUAUGAAGUUUGUUCGUGCAAACCCCGAGCACUCCACCUCCCUCACCUCCUCCUAUUGCUAAAUAUGUCCCGAUGGCUCCGCAAGGUGCGGAUGUGUUCAGACGUGAGAAGCUUCCGGUAGACAAGAUCCGAAAGCAAGGGGCUGAGGAAUUUUGGGCUAGUGUAGGUGAUGACCCUGAGAGAGCGGAGUUUUGGCUAGAGAAUACCAUGAAGGUAUUCGAUGAACUGUCAUGCAUGCUUGAAUAGUACGUGAAGUGUGCCGUGUCACUUCUACGAGACUCGACUUAUUAGUAGUGGAACACUCUUGUGUAGGUAAUACCGAGAGAAAGAGUAACUUGGGAAUUCUUCCAAGGAAAGUUCUGAAAGAAGUACAUUAGCCAGAGGUUUAUGGACUAGAAAAGGAAGGAAUUUCUACAGUUGAAGCAAGGUAAUAAGACUGUGACAGAGUAUGAGCAGGAGUUUGUGAAACUCAGCAAGUAUGCGUGAGAGUAUGUAUUCACUGAAGCUACCUUGUCUAAGAGGUUUGAGGAUGGCCUCAACGAAGACAUUCGAGUAUUUGUAGGCAUCCUGGAUUAAGAUAAUUUGUAGUGCUCGUUGAGUGAGCGUGCAAAGCAGAAGAACUGAUGAAAGAGAAGAGGAAAGCGGCCAGUGAGUCGCGAGACUUGAAGAGAAGACAGAUGGGGAAAGCAUACCAGUCCUCAUCCAAGAGAUCAAAAGAAUUUACUACCCGAACGGAUACUUCGAUGUGAUAUUUGAAAAGAAAUAAGAAUCAACAGAACAUGGCAUCUAAAGCCCAAACUACUUCAGUUGCAAGUAUUGGUAGCGCUCGGCCAAAUAGGCCGGAGUGUUCGCGAUUUUGAAGACGUCAUUUGGGCGAAUGUCGAGUAAACGAGAGGGGCUAUUUCAAGUGUGGGUCACUUGACCGCUUUAUCCACGAAUGUCUCGAGAUGGACGGGAGAGAGAGAAAAUAAGAUGCGAAAGUGAGCGCUUUAGACGUAGAUCUCAAAGGAACCCUAGGAGUGAGACUGGUAGUAGAGGUGCACCGAGAGAUACUGCGAUGAGGUCUGAAGCAUAGCACCAGCGAGGACCUAUGCUAUACGAGCCCGGGAAGAGGCAGAGUCUCCAGACGUGAUCACGGGUACCUUUUCUAUUCACGACAUAACUGUUGUCGCUUUAAUUGACCCGGGAUCUACCCACUCUUACAUAUGUAUAGAUUUGAUACCUCGUAUAGACAUUCUUAUAGAGUCCACUGAGUUUGUUAUUAAUGUGUCUAACCCGUUAGGCAAGCAUGUAUCAGUGGACCAAGUAUGUAAAAAUUGUCCUUUGGCGAUUAGAGGCUAUUAUUUCCUGGCCAACUUGAUGUUGUUGCCUUUUAACGAAUUCGAUGUAAUUCUUGGGAUGGAUUGGCUGACCUCCCAUGGCAUUGUAGUAGACUGUUGGAGAAAAGAAAUUCAAUUAAGAUGUGAGAAUGGUAAUGUUCUUCGAGUUGGGCUAGAUAAGUCAGAUAACCUGCCUGUGGUGAUAUCGUCUUUGACCGCCGAGAAAUAUUUGAGAAAAAGUUAUGAAGCUUAUUUAGCUUUUGUGCUGAAUACCCAAUUAUCCGAGUCAAAGAUUGAGUCAGUACCGGUGGUUUGUGAGUUUAUAGAUGUCUUUCCAAAGGAGUUACCAGGGUUACCCCCAGAAAGAUAGGUUGAGCUCGGUAUCAAGUUGGCUCCUAGUACGACACCAAUCUCGAUUGCAACUUAUAGAAUGUCCCCUAUCGAGUUAAAGGAAUUGAAGGUACAGUUGCAAGAAUUAACGGACAAAGGUUUUGCUAGACCAAGUUACUCACCAUGGGGUGCUCCAGUAAUUUUUGUGAAAAAGAAGGACGGCUCGAUGAGGUUAUAUAUCGACUACAGACAGCUUAACAAGGUCACAGUGAAGAAUAAGUAUCAUUUGCCGAAGAUCGAUGAUCUCUUCGAUCAACUGAGAGGAGCCAUCGUAUUUUCCAAAAUAGAUUUCAGGUCAGGUUACUACCAGUUAACAGUCAAGGAACAAGAUGUACCGAAGACUUCUUUCUGGACGAGAUAUGGGCAUUAUGAGUUUCUUAUUAUGCCUUUUGGAUUAACAAAUGCUCCGGCAGUAUUUAUGGACUUGAUGAACCGCAUCUUUCAGCCAUACUUAUGUAAGUUCGUUGUUGUCUUUAUCAACGGUAUUUUGAUAUAUUCGAGUGAUGAGAGUGAGCACGCGAAAUAUUUGAGAACUGUAUUACAAACUCUGAGGGAUAAGUAGCUUUAUGCUAAAUUUAGUAAGAACGAGUUUUGGCUAAAUGAAGUUGAAUUUCUAGGACACAUUGUGUCGGGUAUUACAAACAUUUUGUAAAUGGAUUUUCUAUGAUAGCUACUCCGAUAACAAGACUAUUGCAGAAAGACGUCAAGUUUGAAUGGGCAGAAGAGUGUCAAUGGAGUUUUGAGAAAUUAAAGGCUUUGUUAACCUAAGCCCCAAUUUUAGUGCAACCAGAGUCGGGUAAAGAAUUUGUAAUUUUUAGUGACGCCUCUUUAAUUGGGUUGGGGUGUGUACUCAUGCAAAAAGGCAGGGUUUUAGCCUAUGCUUUGAGACAGCUAAAACUAUACGAGAAAAAUUAUCCGACCCAUGAUUUAGAGCUAGCAACUGUAGUGUUCGCCUUAAAGAUUUGGCGACACCAUUUGUAUGGAGAGAAAUGUAGAGUAUUUACUGACCACAAGAGUUUAAAGUAUCUAAUGACUUAGAAAGAAUUGAAUUUGAGGCAACGACGAUGGUUAGAGCUAAUAAAAAUUAUGAGUUGAUUGUCAACUAUCAUCCGGGAAAGGCGAAUGCAGUUGCCAAUACUUUGAGUAGGAAAUCAUUGUUUGCCUUGAGAGCUUUGAAUACGUAGUUGACCAUAUUUAAAGAUGGUUCAAUCUUAGUGAAACUCAGAGUUAGACCAACUUUUCUUCAUGAAAUCCGAGAAGCUCAAAGAAAUGAUGAGAAGAUACAAGCCAGGAAAAAUCAGUGUGAGUCUGGUGUUGAAUCAGGUUUUCAGGUUGGUACUGACGGAUGUUUAAUGUUCAAAGAUAGAGUUUGUGUGCCUAAAGAUAGUGAACUCAUUCAGAAGAUUUUACGAGAAGCACAUAGCGGUAGUUUGUCCAUCCAUCCGGGUAGUGUAAAAAUGUAUAACGACCUGAAAAAAAUGUAUUGGUGGUCGAGAAUGAAAAGGGAUAUUUCAGAGUUUGUUUCCAAGUGUUUAAUCUGUCAGCAAGUAAAGGCUGAACACCAAGUACCUUCUGGACUACUUCAACCUAUUAUAGUCCAAGAGUGGAAAUAGGAUCGUAUCAUUAUGGAUUUCGUAACAUGUUUGCCAUUAACCUCAGCUCACUUCAUGCCAGUGCGUACCGACUACUCCCUUGAGAAAUUAGCUGACUUGUAUGUUUACGAGAUUGUGAGGCUACAUGGUGUACCAUUGUCGAUUGUUUCAGAUCGCGGCCCAAGAUUCACCUCAAGGUUUUGGAAAAAGUUACAAGAGGCUCUAGGAACCAAGUUAAGUUUUAGUACGGCUUUUCAUCCUCAGACUGACGGACAAUCAGAAAGAGUAAUACAGAUCUUGGAGGACAUGCUAAGAUGCUGCGUCCUUGAAUUUCACGGAAGUUGGGAAAAAUACUUACCAUUGGUUGAAUUCGCCUACAACAACAGCUACCAAUCGAGUCUGAAAAUGGAACCUUAUGAGGCCUUGUACGGGCGAAAGUGUCGAACGCCCUUAUAUUGGAUAGAGCUGAAAGAGUGUCAGAUUCACGGGGUUGAUUUGGUCAAAGAGGCUGAGGAAAAAGUUAAAGUGAUUCGGAAAUGCCUAAGAGCCACUUCGGAUAGGCAGAAAUCCUAAGCAAAUUUGAAGUGAAAGGAGAUCAAGUUUGAGGUCGGUGACAAAGUAUUCUUGAAAGUUUCCCCUUGGAGGAAAAUCCUCAAAUUUGGUAGAAAGGGCAAGUUGAGCCCUCGUUUCAUAGGACCUUAUGAAAUUACCGAGAGAGUAGGGCCUGUGGCCUACAGAUUAAAAUUGCCACCAGAGUUAGAAAAGAUUCACGACGUGUUUCAUGUGUCUAUGUUACGCCGAUAUAGAUCUGACCCUUUACAUGUAAUUGCGCCUACUAAAGUUGAAAUUCUUCUAGAUAUGACUUAUGGUGAAGAACCGAUCAAGAUCUUAGCUCGAGAGGUUAAACAGUUAAAAAAUAAGGACAUACCACUUGUGAAAGUUUUGUGGCAAAGACAUAGGGUCGAGGAAGCCACAUGGGAACUAGGGGAGUCCCUGAGAGAACAGUAUCCGAAUUUAUUCACUGGUAAGAUUUUCAAGGACGAAAAUCCCUAAGGGGGAGAAAUGUAAUAGCCCGAUUUAGGGCCUAGCCGGAACAGUUGUCUCAGGACCAUAAAUCCGAAGUUAGAAAAAUUAUUUUACUAUUUUUAUGAAGUUAUAGUAUGAUUUUAUUAGUGCAUGAAAAUUUUGUUAAGUUAAUUUUAAUGUUUUCUAACCCAAUUUCUAAAAAGGACUAAAUCGCAUAAAAGGAAAAAAGUUGCAUUUUAGUACCUAAAUGAGUUAAAUAGCUAAAGAACAUAAAUUGAGGGCUUUUAAAGGGCAAUUUCACCCUUUUUAUUAGUGUUGGCCGGCCAUGUGAUGGGUUUUAACGAAAUAGUCAAGGUAUUAGGUGGAUGAUGUCAGGAUUUGGAAAUAAAAUAAUGCCUAAAAGCCUAGCUAUCAUUUCUUUCUUCUCCAUCUCUUUUCUCCACCGAAAAUAUCAAAAAAAAUGGAGUUUUAAAGGCUGAAAACUUUCAGUAACUUAAAGCCCUCGCAACUAAGUGAUCCCCACACCUUUUGUUGAUGAUUUUUGCAUUUUUGAGAUCCUUGAAGCAUGAGCUUUCAAAUGAGGGUGAUAUCUUGCAAAAUGGUCAAGAGUUUAGGGUUUUUCCAUGGAUGUAUUUGUGAUGUUUAUUGAGUUUUUAUGGAAGAAUAUGAGUCCUAGUUGUGUCAUUAACAACUUUAGUGAAAGAGUUAUCAUGGAAAAUACUUAAAGGAACUAUUUUGCAUAAGUUAUAAAAUAGUUAGUAAGCAUGUGAAAUAGUGAGAAUUUGAAGUUGCUAUAAGAGUAAAAAUAGUUCAGUUAGGCCUAAGAUACAAAGAAAUUUGAUGAAAAUCGAUUUUUGAGCAUAUGGGCAAAAUGGUCGUUUUGUCAAAGUUUAGGGGCAAAAUGGUCAUUUUACCAAAGACGUGAAUUUAUAAUUGCCUAAUUGUAAUUAGUGACUAAAUGAUUGUAUAUUUCUAUUAUAGAUCAAGAUUUACCAAAUCCGAACCCAGGCUGGGGGAAGGCCAAGCAAACCGACUAAACCGAAUAGCCAAUUUCUUUUUGUAAACCGAGGUAAGUUGUAGGUAAAUGAUACAACUACACUAUUAAUAUUUGUAUUCAUUUCACCAUUGUAUUGAUAUUGUAUGAGUCGCCAAGUUAUGAAUUGAGAAUGUCUAGCAUUAAUUGAGAUAAUAAAAAUAUCCCGUUUAAACAUUAGGAUACGAACUGGAUAUUCGUGCCAAGGCAUUGGGUGAUUUGUGCGCCAGUGUAAGACAUGUUUGGGACAUGCUUCAACCACAUUAUGAGAGCCAGUGUAAGACCAUGUCUGGGACAUGCAUCGGCAUUCAGACGAGGGCUAGUGUAAGACAUGUUUGGGACAUGCGUCAGCCAUACUAUGAUAGCCAGUGUAAGACCAUGUCUGGGACAUGGCAUCGGCACAGAGAUGAGUGCCAGUGUAAGACAUGUCUGGGACAUGCAUCGGCUUCGAGAGAGAUAGCCAGUGUAAGACGUGUCUGGGACACGCAUCGGCUAAGAGCUGUGCUAGAGUAAGACAUGUGUAGGACAUGCAUCAGCACGCGUGUAUGAGAGCCAGUGUAAGACCAUGUCUGGGGCAUGGCAUCGGCAAUAUAUCCCAUGUUGAAGGUUCAUAGAAUAUCCAGUAGUAUUCCAAACGUUUCAAUGAUGAGAGUUAUAGAUCUAUUUUGAUAAAGAAAGAAUAAUCAUGUUGUGAGUGGUACAGGUACCUAUAUGGUAAGCAUGAGUAACGAGCUUAAAUUAGAGAAUGUGACUCGAGUAGAUGAUAAUGAGUAAGUUAAAUUAUGUUUACCUUUGAGCUAUAAGUAUGAUGACUAAUGGUGAG